UAAUAGUACCACACAUUAUACUUGUAAGGGCAGUAACAGUGCAAGGCACGCAUAGCGCGCUUCUAGCCCAUUUGUGCGAUAAAAUUGGCCCGAAGGCCAGUAGGCCACACACCCCACAGUGCUCGUGACCCACAAUACGCUAUCAAGUCGGAACUCCCAGUCGAACGAAAACAGAGUUAAUUUUCCCCACCUGCCCCUUCAUGCUUAUCCUCUACACAGAAAAAAAUCCCGUCACUUCUCCCCAUCUCCGCGCCGCUCCCCCGCCCCACCCACCCCCCUCCGCUAAAAAAAAUCCGCAGCUUCUCCUCCUCAUUCACCACACCACGCGCUUCUCCUCCCAGAUCUGCCGCUUCUCUCCCCAAAUUUGACACUUCUCCUCCCAAAUCCACCGCACCGUUUCUCCCAAUCUGCGCCACUUCUCCUCGCCCAUCCACUGCACCGCUUCUCCCCCAAAUCCAAGCGCGGGAGGCAAGAAUCGGUGGGGUGGGAGGGUGAUUUUGGGGAUUCACUUUUCGGGGCGGCGCGAGGAAGCGACGAAUCGGAGCGACGACCUCCACGUUGCAGGGGCGGAGGGGGUUUCUUGCGCUGCGCGCCCUCGUUGCAACGAAGAAACUCGUCUCCCAGAUAAGGGGCGAGCGGCUAAGCAGAGGCGCGAGCCUCGUCGACACGUAAGCGAGUCCAAUAUGGCAGGUGAAGGUAACAUGCCAUGUACACGCACUGGGAAGGGCCUAAAGGGGCUAGCAAUAAUACGUGAGUACUAGGGAUUGAUGAACCAUGGUGAAGACUCCAAUAAGGUACAAAGGUGGAAUUUUGGAAAUGAUGGCGCCGACAAGGUGUUCAAAUGUUCGAUGUGAUAUGGUGAAAAUUUUUGGAGUGGGACCUAACAAGGCCUGAGCUGAUAAAGUAUCGAGGUAACAUCGUGGAUGAGGCUAUGCCAACAAGAUACCAAGGAUGAAUUGAGAGGGCAACAACGUCGACAAGGUAUCACAUACUUGAACCAUGGAUACUUGAUUGGGACGAAGACACGAGGAUCUGGUAUGCAUGCUCGUGGCAGAUGAGGCAAAGUAAAGGUGUCUCAAGGAAGCCGCGAAUACGGAUCGAUCUCCUAUAAUUUAUACCAUCCCAAAAUUGAUAUGCCUUACAUUAGCAGUUCUUAAAAUAAACCGAACACAAAAGACAGAAACAUAUAUAUUCAUCCAAAUAUUUGGACACGAUAUGAAACAAACAUGAACAUUUACAUGAUACUAAUUUGAGAACAUCUCUGUUUUAUACUGUGCAGUGAUUUUUUUCCCCGAUGGUUGGUGCGAAGCAAUUUUUCUCAAAAGGAAAUGAAACGAUUGAAAGCUUUCCUUCCUGACGCGUGUGGCACGAUUUUAUCCGCCGGUUUAUUUUCCCAGGAAAGAAUUCAACAUUUCAACUUCUGGAGGACUCCGACCGCCGUGCCUCUUCAUCGUCGGUGCCCUAGGUUCUCCACGCCCAUUGCCCAUUACUAAUCCGGCACUGCUAGCUCAGGUAUACGCCACGAAACCCACUCCUACGCCAAGGUAUCCACCACUCGCGCGCGGCGCGCGCACGCUCGCCGGCGACGGCAGCGCGGGGUGCUCCUUGUGUUGGGCGCGCUCGGCGAAGGUGUGGCGGUGUGGCGCAUGGAGGUUCAGCGGGAGACCGGGCGUUCCUGGCACACGCGGCCGUGUUUGGCGGAGCUCGCGCGCGCUCAUGGCGUUGUCAUGGGGGUGGUUUUCUCGUGUUCAGGUUCAGGCACGAAGGGGGCGCCGCGUAACUCGCCGUGAAGGUGUUCGAUCAGAUGCCCCUCUCAGGGCGAAGUUUUGUGAAGUUGACACUUCGGCAGAUUUGAUUAAUAACAAGACAAAUGCAGCUGUUAGAAGGCCACGGUUCAUCAGAGUUCUGCUCCCUGGAUCCUUCGCAAAGAUGGUCCACAGAUGCUUGUAUACUACUACAUGUUCUGCCGUUCUGAAUUUCGUAGCGAAUUCUUAACAAGUUUGCAAGGACAGUGCCGGUCAAAUUGGCCAUGGUUUUCAGCCUCGUUGGCAAUUUUUGGCACGUUAAGCUGUAUUGAGGAUUUGAGAUCUACUCUUCUUUUUAAGAGCUAUUGAGAUCUACUUUAGGGAGUGGCAGAACAGGGUUUGUGAGGGCUCGUGAUUUUUCUGAGGGCAAACUUCUGCUGCUGUUCAGAUACGAAGAUAUCGUCAAAUGCUCGACCAAAAACAGAAGAUAAUUCAGAUGACGAACUACCUCAACUCUGAAUAAAAUUUGGCCGCCUUCCUUCUUUAGCCCGGCGAGAAAAAGGAUGGAAAGGGCCUGAAUGACAGGCUAUGGAAGAGAAAAAAGUUGGGAAGUAGGAUAAGUCGGAGGAACAGUGCAGAUUGCACUGCAAGUCUUUGAGAUGAGAAUGACCCAAGAGACAGGCCACUGAAAAAGAUGAAGAAGCGGCUUUGAAGUUUUGUGGAUCAGUCAAAAUGGGAAUUGCGAGAACGGAACUGCAAGUCAUGCAGGAGACAAGAAUCCAAAAAAAGCCACAUUCAAAGUCUGAUCACGAUGAGUGAAGUGCUUAUGGGCUUAGCCACAGAUUUGAGCACUCCGUUUCAUGACUUGAUGCAUGCGCUUCCACGGGCUUCCCACAAGCUGCACAAUCACACUAAAAACGAAGAGCCAUUUCACAACAUGGAAGAAGGCGAUUUUGGUCACAGCCCAUAAACUCCCGUUGCUGACAAACAAACUUCAGGCUUCAUGUAUUCACAGCAGUACAAAGCAACACGCCUACAAUUUCUAUCCAAAAUGGCACAAUUUCAGCUCAUCAGAUUAAGUUAAGGCUCUAAAUCGAUCCUUCCCUCA